rnacentral:rRNA from 1 species
AUACGUAGGGUGCAAGCGUUAAUCGGAAUUACUGGGCGUAAAGCGUGCGCAGGCGGUUUUGUAAGACAGUGGUGAAAUCCCCGGGCUCAACCUGGGAACUGCCAUUGUGACUGCAAGGCUGGAGUGUGGCAGCGGGGGAUGGAAUUCCGCGUGUAGCAGUGAAAUGCGUAGAUAUGCGGAGGAACACCGAUGGCGAAGGCAAUCCCCUGGGCCUGCACUGACGCUCAUGCACGAAAGCGUGGGGAGCAAACAGGAUUAGAUACCCUGGUAGUCCACGCCCUAAACGAUGUCAACUGGUUGUUGGGUCUUCAUUGACUCAGUAACGAAGCUAACGCGUGAAGUUGACCGCCUGGGGAGUACGGCCGCAAGGUUGAAACUCAAAUGAAUUGACGGGG